UGGGGAAUAUUGCACAAUGGAGGGAACUCUGAUGCAGCGACGCCGCGUGAACGAAGAAGGCUUUCGAGUCGUAAAGUUCUUUUAUAUGGGAAGAUAAUGACGGUACCAUAAGAAAAAGCCCCGGCUAACUACGUGCCAGCAGCCGCGGUAAUACGUAGGGGGCUAGCGUUGUCCGGAAUCACUGGGCGUAAAGGGUUCGCAGGCGGAAAUGCAAGUCAGGUGUAAAAGGCAGUAGCUUAACUACUGUAAGCAUUUGAAACUGCAUAUCUUGAGAAGAGUAGAGGUAAGUGGAAUUUUUAGUGUAGCGGUGAAAUGCGUAGGUAUUAAAAAGAAUACCGGUGGCGAAGGCGGCUUACUGGGCUCAUUCUGACACUGAGGAACGAAAGCGUGGGUAGCAAACAGG
rnacentral:rRNA from 1 species